GGCCCAACAGACAAAACCCCAAUAUGGAUUAGUGCAGGGGAGAAGACUCUGGCAACAGGGUGUCAGUCCACAAGGAGCUGAGUAGAAAGGUCUGGAACAGGAACAGCUUCAUAUAUAAGAAAAAUACCAGCUGGUUUUCCCUGGGUCCUCCCAGAUCAAAGCUCUUAGCGAAAGCCCAGAGGAGAGAUGGGGCCGAUUCUCUAUGGGCCGCGGCUAGAGGGAGGCUCAUGGCCUCCCACCCAUGCAUCUGAACGUGUUCCUCUUUGCUCCUCUCCUGCCUGGCAUGAAAGAUAAAAAGAUGGCACACUGCUGGCACUGUUACCUUAGAUCUAUUGCCUUUCCAUUGGGCUGGCUGAAACGCUGCGGACUGCGACCAGUCUCUUAAAAAGAAGAACAAAAAGAGGAAGACCUUGAGUGGACCCCAGGACAAAGCACUUUGGGCUCGGCAAGAAGGGACGCGCGGGAGCGCUGGCUCCGAACCGGAGUGAUCUCGGGUGCCCAAGAGCGCCCAUCCAGCGUGCGGACCUCUGAGGGUAUUCGGAUUGAAUUUUAUUUAUCUUUUUGGCAU
rnacentral:lncRNA from 1 species